CCCCUCCCCUGCCGCGCAUGACCCCCGCGGGCCGGGCCGGGGCGGGCGGGGUCUCCGGCGAGGUCAGCGCUGGGUCGGAGUCCCUCCCCACCUGCGCCGGGCGCACUCGAGCCCCACGCGCGGCUGCGUCUGGUGGGCGGGAGGGGCCCCCUGAACUAGCCGCGCGUCCCAGGCCGCGACCCCAGCGCCGGGGCGAGUGGGUGCGCGGCACUGCGAGACGGCUGCACCCCUCAGCCCAGCCCUCGACUCUGCCCUCGCCCUUCGCUGCGCUGGCGCUUUCCGGGUGCGCAGGCGCCCCGCCCCGCCGUCUCCACCGUCCCCGCCCGGCGCGCUGGGGACCGGAAUGGCCCGGCUGGUUUUGAAUGCAGAGAUCGGGCUUUGUGAGCGGCCGCCCCACCCCACAUGCCCCACGGCCCGGCUCCCUCCCCGCACCCCGGCCCCAGCCCCCGCCCUCAUUAGCAUAGCAGCUGCUCGCCGAGCCGGACGGCGCGGAGGAAAGGGCAGAGGCCUCGGGAAUGAAUGGGGGCCGCGGCUUUGGAGGGGCGAGAGAAGAAAGACCGACAGACGGACGCGCGGAGGACGGUCGGAAGAAUGCGCCGGACGGGUGUUGGGGGUUUCCAGCGGGGGGGAGCGGCUCCGAGCAGUGGAGCCUGAGUGUGCGGGUAUGGGUGGAGGGCGGCCUCCCGGGGACCCCCAAGCCCUGGAGGGUCUGCACUGGAGGCCCCGGAAGGGGCAGUUGCAGAGGUUCCCAGACCUUCCACAGCCCCCUCCCGUGGCCUGAGCCCUCGAAUCCCGGCCUCAGGCUUCGUUCCCAGCUGUCCCUGGCUCGGAGCCUCCUUUCCCGUCCUUCAAGGCCCAGGUGGACGCUGCCUCCUCCCCGCAGUCUCAAGGAGCUUCAGGGGCAGCUGGCCUUCACGAGGUUCUUGUGGCCACUCUCCUUUCCAACGGCUGGGGCAUCCCUGGGCUGAUCCAGGGCAAGACUUCCCAGAGCCUGCUUCAGGGAGCUGGCCCGUCUCCCAGGCUGAUUCUGCAGGAUAGGAAAUGCGUAACCGACGGAAAACGCGCCUGGAAAACCAAGGGUAAACAGGGCAGCAGUGCAGAGUAGGAAGGCGGAGGCGUGGGGAAAGUUUGUGGGAAGGGCAGCCCUUCUGGGGACACGGUUUAGGGAAGCAGAUGCCCCUUACACUCCGCGGAGGGGUUUGAAAAGUUGUUACCUUGUAACUCCAGGUCUUUACCCUUCUCCAAGUUCUCCCUGCUGGCUGCUCUUGCCGGGGGGAGGGCGUGCUCCCUUGCAGCCCUGUACAGCGCCCCCAGGGCCCCAAAGGCAUCUCAGGAGUGGGCCAAGAGUUUCUGCUCCUUUCUCUCAGGUGCUGGCAACAGUCAUCCUGCUCUGCUCUCCUCUCUUGCGAAUGGGGGUGCUCAGCCCCGACGCUCCUCUAACUCAGGGUCUGUGUUCUUUGGGGUGUUUGACUCCAGGCCUGUGUGGGCCUCCAGAGCUCCCAGGUGCCUCCAGGGGACUUUCUACUUGCCAGGAGUGAGCAGCUAUGAUAUUUUCCCCCAAUUUACAAGAUACCCCCUUCUGUGCAGCAGGCACCCUCCAGCAUGACCCCCUAGAGGGUAGGAGUGGGCAGGGCUUCAGGCCAAACUGUCCUCUCUGGUGGAGGUCUCAGCCGCUCUGCUGGGGAACGGAGCAGAGGCUGUGACGCCAGCUCUGGGCACUCUGGAGGCGCUGGGUCCUCAUGAGUCCUGUGUGCAGCCAGGUUGGGCUUGGCCGUUGCAUGGGGCUGGGAGCGAGUUUACCAGGCUCUGUCUUCAGGCAAAUACAAGCCAAGCAUUGUGCACCCAGCACCCACAAACUGUGUCGCAGCCUAACCCUCGUCCCCAAAGAGGGUGUUCUGCAACUUGUGCCAAAGCCAAGAAGGACCAACAAACUUUUUUUUUUUUAAUAUAAAAAGAUCAAUGAAAAAUUUAUUUAUAAAUUUUUCACGCAGGGCUACAAGUCAAUAUCGUACACUCAGAAAUGUGCUGCACAAACUUUAUCCAGUUAGAAGUGAUCAUCCCGUGACCCACACACAGCUUCGAUAUAAGCCUAGAAAGUCUUAACAUUAAUUAACAUAAUUAAAAAGGUAUUUGCAUCUAGAAAAAAUAUACAGAACUCCUUGUGGAGUAAUCUGUGCCUCCAUUUCAAUGUCUGCUUGUUUCACUGACAUUAUCAAUAUAUUCUUCUCACACAAAGUUUUAUAAAAAGCCACGGAUGGCUGCCCGAAUAGGACCAGCCACGCACAAAGGGCCUCCACCCACCUGUGUCCUCAAGUGCUCCCCAUUUCUGCACGAAGGGUCAGCAGCAUUUCCAUGAAGGGGAAACCUCAUUUAAAUUUGAAUAAUUCAGCCUCCCUUUUAUUUCUCAGGAUCAAAACAACAAGGGGUGUGGGGCUGCAUAGAAAACUGGAGCCACAGAAACCAGGAAGGGCGCCUUUCAGGACAGAAAGUGACGCAGGAGAACCUCCCCGGGCCCAGGUCUCGACGCGACCCCUCCCCCACGGCAGGAUUUCGGAUUCGAAUUGAGUCCUCGAAGCUCUGGGAGGCUAAAAAGGGGCAAAACGGUCCUUCAAUUCACUCAGCCAUUAGCACGAGAGAUUCACAGUCUUAUAGGUAUUUUAUAAAAAUAUAAAUAUGGGUACACUCUGUUGCCUUCACAACGCUGGAUACAUCGCCCUUUAAAAUUGGGUUUAUAACCAAGAUUCAAAAAAUACACCUAAAACUUGGCUUAAAAUAUGUUAAUAUUUUAUAUUCUGUCAUAAAUGUUAUGACAUUUAAUUGUGGCAAAUCCAUUUACUUUUUUUAAA
rnacentral:lncRNA from 1 species